rnacentral:lncRNA from 1 species
CAAAUUCUCAUUUCAUAGAAUGAAAAUGAAUGCUACAAAUUAAAAAAAGAAUAUUGAGGAACCGUCAAUGUUUCUACAUCAAUGCUUAUAUCUGCAGGCCACCUCAGACUAGCUCUUUUAAAAGUGCCAACACUUACAACAAGACAAGAACAAAAUGGUUGUGAAGACCAUAAAGACAUCAUGUGCUACAAGGACUUCACAGGCCAAGUGGAUGCUUCGGGACAAGUGUCUUAUUACUCAGGGACAGUAAAAGAUGGGAG